UAUCCUUUCCAGGACCUCGAGGGAAAUGGUUAUCACACAUGGCACAUGUCUCUGAAGCGUAAAUUCAAACUAGAGCGUGCACCCUUGUGUGACAACGAUGAAGUGAGACAUACUAAGGAGAAAUUUGGGCACAUGAAAUCCAAGUAACCAUCUGAAUCUGCAAGAACAAGUCAGAGAAAUGGUUUUAAGGCACCAAAUGUUUUGGGUGAGGAUCCUUCCUCCAUUGAGGCUCACGUUAAGAUCCUGCACAGCCAGUAUCAGAAAGUGCAGCCAGACGCAAGGAUUGUACAGGAUCGCAUGAUGCAAACCCUUGCAUGGCGAAGAAAGGAGACUGCAGAUGGCAUGACUCUGGCUGACACUCUAAAGAAAUACUCUUUCUUAAGGACAUCUAAAGGACUCUGUGAUGAAAUAGAGCGAAUCCAUCCAACAAUGGGAAAGGUGCGACAACGAUUCGAUGAAGGCUUUGUCUGCAUCGUCCCGAAGGUGCUUAACCUGGCUAAAGGGAAAUCUCCGUUAUUCCCGGUCUACCUUGAGGCAAGAGAGGAGGCUCUCGCUGAAGAGUUAGCAGGUGUUGACUUCAGAGCAGCCCUUAUA